rnacentral:snRNA from 8 species
AUACUUACCUGGCAAGGGAGAUACCGUGAUCAAGAAGGCGGUUCACCCAGGGCGAGGCUCAGCCAUUGCACUCCGGCUGUGCUGACCCCUGCGAAUUUCCCAAAUGUGGAAAUCUCGAUUGCAUAAUUUAUGGUGGUGGGGGACUGCGUUCGCGCUCGCCCCUG